rfam:Asian citrus Psyllid, Diaphorina citri - Florida Strain, whole genome shotgun sequence.
GCUCCCAUGGCGUAGUGGUCACUGCGCUCGCCUUGCACGCGGGAGACCCGGGUUCGAUUCCCAGUGGGGUCA